rnacentral:lncRNA from 1 species
GCGACUGUUAACAAGUUUCCCUCUAGUUUAGGAUUGUAGCCUCUGCAAGAGAUUUUGGAUGGCUCUGUAACUGCAGAGCCGGAAACGCCUCCGAUCGAUCGUCCAUCCCUUGGAAGUAAAGCCUGGAAGAGACAGCAGCAUGGCUUUUUCUGAAGAAUUUGUUGCGUCGUUAACUCGUUAUCUGAACUGGCUGAACAUAACAUACAGAAUUUACCUGUUCAUUUUGAGACAACAAAAAGAGAGAUCAAGUGUAGGUGAUCCAUCACUUACAUCAUGCAAACGAAGGGUUCAGGGGCCUCGCUGAAAUCGCCUCUUUCUGCCAAAACCAAUACAGUCGAUGCAGGCUGUUCUUCAGGGCUGAGGCAUCGUCAGCUUGGACUGUGUUUCAUCUGACAACUGACUAAGAGCAAAUGAGGAAAUGUACAUGGCCCCGGGAUGCUAUAAGUAGUAAUGCCACGCCAUGUGUGUACGCAUCAAACCAGCACUUUCUACAAAAUGUGGAAAAAUGACAUGGUCUUAUACAAGUGAUUCCGUUCUUUCUGCAAAUAGCUGCAGGUGAUGCAAGUGUGCAAGUGGCAAGUCUGUGGGAGGAGAAAACCCAGGGAAG